rfam:Dermacoccus nishinomiyaensis strain M25, complete genome.
UGAGUCGGCCGGGCGGUCGCGUCGAGAGUUCGCUCUCGCCGAGGAAAGUCCGGGCUCCACAGGGCAGGGUGAUGGCUAACAGCCACCCGGGGCGACCCGCGGGAAAGUGCCACAGAGAACAGACCGCCACGCUCAUGAGCGCGGCAAGGGUGAAACGGUGGUGCAAGAGACCACCAGCGCCCCAGGCGACUGGGGCGGCUCGGUAAACCCCACCCGGAGCAAGAUCAGACAGCAUGCGUCGAAGCGGCCCGCUGAGCAUGUGGGUAGAUCGCUCGAGCCCUGCAGCAAUGCAGGGCCUAGAUGGAUGAUCGCCGAAGCGAUGCCAGCAAUGGCGCGCGGAACACAACCCGGCUUAUAGGCCGACUCAUCCC